GGUCCUGCGCAAUGUCAGCUCGUGAACCAUGUCAGGCGGGGAACCGAGCAGCAUUAAGCGAGUCAUGGUGUGUGCCGCAGAU
rnacentral:SRP_RNA from 1 species